GUAUCAGCGCAGAGUACGGGAUUCGUCAUGACUUGACUUCUACGCAUCAUGGGAACCUAAAGCCUGCUGGUAAGUCAAGUCAAAGAGCUUUGUGAGUGAAUGAGCCAACGAGCCAUCUCGCGCCUUGGAUCGUUAUCAAUUUGCAAGUUGAAUUUGUGACGAGGUACGAGCUAUGGUGAACCACGUGGAAUCCUAGCUUUAAAUUUAUUUUGUGGGUUUAUAUACAUCCCGGAUACUGCAAUGCAAACAACAUACCGAGUUUCGAGAUAAACAACAGCAGUACACUAUGUGAAUUGUCGAAGAGGUAAUUAGAGAGUUUGAGCAACUACUAGAGGAGAAAAACUAGAUAAAAACAUAUUUUUCGAAAUUGAAGGAAGGAGGUCUACUACAUACAUUACAUAGACUUUAAAAUCGCUGAUUAGAUUGAAACUUACGUAAAUACUAAAAAUAUAUUUUAUAUAUAUAUAUAAAGAAAGAGGUUUGAUCAACAAAAUUUAAAGAUAUGUAAGUAGGAAUCACUAAUUAUAAACCUAUCAUUACAUCAACUUUAAUUAUAUCAAUCAUAUUUUAUUUAGUUUAUUGAUAUAAAAAUGUUUAUUGAUAAGAAACAAUUGAGACUAGGGAGCUUUAGAUAAAGUAAUCUUAACUUAAAUCGUAUACGUUAGGUAUUAUUUUUCAAAUGUGUUGCGUUGAGCGCAGAUAGAUGCAAGAAUAUGUAAUGGGUAAUGACUUAUUAAAAUAAAGAAUCUUUCUUACUUGUGCUUGGAUCGAAAAAAAUGACUCACAGUUAUAUUAAGAUAGAAUUAAUCUUGUAUAAUAAUUCGAAAAUGCGUAUAAUUUUGGUUGACAAUGAGUUAAAUAAAAUAUAUGUGUAUAAAUUUUAUUUUAAUUGGUAUAAUAUUGUGAUGUUAUUUAUUUAAAGAGAAUUACGACUACUGCCACUUGAGUUUUAUUUUUUUUAAUGGUACAAUAGUUUUUUCUCAGGAACCCGUACAAGUGGUUUUGUACUCUUUUUUAAUUCAUUUUUCUUGAUAACGUCAAUAUUGGACGUUACCCGAAUAUAAAAAAAAAUAUCUGUCUAAGAAUAAUAUUAUCAACGAUGAUCAGGACAUCAAGUGUGGAAAAAAUUUGGGGAUAUAUUUGUACCGACAAAUGUAAUUCUCGACAAGGUCUCGAUUCGUUGAUUCCGAUCAGAAGCUUUCGUCCAUUACUUAAUUUAUUUCAGUAACGACUAUCUUGCACGCAAAUCGAGCAUAGAACCGCCCUAUCUAUAAUUCGUUGUCCACAUUGACCUCCGCUUAAAAUAGAAGGUAGAGUAAUGGGGCAAGGUGAGAUAAUAAAAAAAAAAGUGUGUCGAGAAGAACCAGAUGAUCGUCGCGAUUAUCCCGCUUGAAAACGCGUCGUGUGUCGAUCGAUUCGCCGCCGCAUCGAGGUGCAAUCCGGGAUUGCAAGGUUUCUAUGGAAAACAAAUCGUUUUGCCGUAACACUAGCCGAGUGUAAGCCGCAUUCACUUUCGUAAGGCCGAAAUCGUGGCAACGAUCCAGACUGCUAAUGAAAAAAGCGUGUUUCCAGUACCGACUGUCGUGAAAUUGUCGUGUUUCGUUUGCCACUCGAAACGAAGGCAAGUAGAAAUCGAUACCCGGUGCAAAACACACACACACACACACACACACACACACACACACACACACACACACACACACACACACACACACACACACACACACACACACACACACGCACAGAGCUAACAAGUCCAGAAAUCGCUCCCCUUUUCCAGCUUUGAAUCCGGUAUUGAAUCCGAUAUAAUAAAAAA